rnacentral:rRNA from 1 species
UACGUAGGGUGCAGGCGUUAAUCGGAAUUACUGGGCGUAAAGCGUGCGCAGGCGGUUCGUUUAGUCAGAUGUGAAAGCCCCGGGCUCAACCUGGGAACUGCAUUUGAAACUGGCGGGCUUGAGUAUGGCAGAGGGGGGUGGAAUUCCGCGUGUAGCAGUGAAAUGCGUAGAGAUGCGGAGGAACACCGAUGGCGAAGGCAGCCUUCUGGGCCAAUACUGACGCUCAUGCACGAAAGCGUGGGGAGCAAACAGG